CAGUUGAAGUGCUAUUUUUUGGAUUUUUUUUU
rnacentral:sRNA from 1 species